rnacentral:misc_RNA from 1 species
UCUCCGUAGGUGAACCUGCGGAGGGAUCAUUACAGAGUUCUCGCCCUCGCGGGUAGAUCUCCCACCCACUGUUAUCGUUACUGUGUUGCUUUGGCGGGCCGCCGGGCCCCGCUCAGCCGCCGGCUCCGGCUGGCGCGCGCCCGCCAGAGGCCCAGCAAACUCUGAAUGUUAGUGUCGUCUGAGUACUAUAUAAUAGUUAAAACUUUCAACAACGGAUCUCUUGGUUCUG